CGUGGCUUCCGGAGCUAACGCGUUAAGUCGACCGCCUGGGGAGUACGGCCCGCAAGGUUAAAACUCAAAUGAAUUGACGGGGGCCCGCACAAGCGGUGGAGCAUGUGGUUUAAUUCGAUGCAACGCGAAGAACCUUACCUGGUCUUGACAUCCACGGAAGUUUUCAGAGAUGAGAAUGUGCCUUCGGGAACCGUGAGACAGGUGCUGCAUGGCUGUCGUCAGCUCGUGUUGUGAAAUGUUGGGUUAAGUCCCGCAACGAGCGCAACCCUUAUCCUUUGUUGCCAGCGGUCCGGCCGGGAACUCAAAGGAGACUGCCAGUGAUAAACUGGAGGAAGGUGGGGAUGACGUCAAGUCAUCAUGGCCCUUACGACCAGGGCUACACACGUGCUACAAUGGCGCAUACAAAGAGAAGCGACCUCGCGAGAGCAAGCGGACCUCAUAAAGUGCGUCGUAGUCCGGAUUGGAGUCUGCAACUCGACUCCAUGAAGUCGGAAUCGCUAGUAAUCGUGGAUCAGAAUGCCACGGUGAAUACGUUCCCGGGCCUUGUACACACCGCCCGUCACACCAUGGGAGUGGGUUGCAAAAGAAGUAGGUAGCUUAACCUUCGGGAGGGCGCU
rnacentral:rRNA from 1 species